UAGGUUAAAUUCAAAGACCAAAUAAACAUGUAGAGUUUUAAGUGGAUGCUUUCCGGACGGCGGUUCGAUUCCGCCCAUCUCCACCA
rnacentral:tmRNA from 1 species